rnacentral:ncRNA from 1 species
UUGAGCCGUGUGAGGUGAAAGUCUCACGCACGGUUCUGAGGGGGGAUGGUCCAGUAAUGGACUGUCCCUACCCAAC